CCCUUAGAUGUUCUGGGCCGCACGCGCGCUACACUGACGGAGCCAACGAGUAUUUUCCUUGUCCGGAAGGACUGGGUAAUCUUGUGAAACUUUGUCGUGCUGGGGAUAGAGCAUUGUAAUUAUUGCUCUUCAACGAGGAAUUCCUAGUAAGCGUGAGUCAUCAGCUCGCGUUGAUUACGUCCCUGCCCUUUGUACACACCGCCCGUCGCUACUACCGAUUGAAUGGCUUAGUGAGGCCCUCGGAUUGAGCCAAGGCUCCUUCACGGGAGCUCUGGAUUGAGAAGUUGGUCAAACUUGGUCAUUUAGAGGAAGUAAAAGUCGUAACA
rnacentral:rRNA from 1 species